rnacentral:tRNA from 1 species
AAAAAUAUUAACAUAUUAAUAAAUUUUA